rnacentral:misc_RNA from 1 species
UGAAAUGCGAUAAUUAAUGUGAAUUGCAUUAUCUCGUGAAUCAUCGAGUCUUUGAACGCAUCUUGCACUUUUCAGGCCUCCUGGAAAGUAUACUUGUUUGAGUAUCAUUAACAUUAACUCCAAGGUAACUCUUGGGAAUUGAGACUUUAAGCGUGCACAUUGCUGCUGCUUAUGUCUUUUAAGUGAUAUGUGGAGUGUUGUGCUUGUCACAAGCCUAACAAUCAAAUGUGAGAUAAAUAUCGCACAAAGUAGUUGCCAGGUUAAGCUUUGCUACGCCCAACGGCCUAGUGCCGCAACCUUUGAUCUGUGAUCUCAAAUCAAGUAAGACUACCCGCUGAACUUAA